CCGGCGCACGGUGAGUAACGCGUAUGCAACUUACCUAUCAGAGGGGGAUAACCCGGCGAAAGUCGGACUAAUACCGCAUAAAGCAGGGAUCCCGCAUGGGAAUAUUUGCUAAAGAUUCAUCGCUGAUAGAUAGGCAUGCGUUCCAUUAGGCAGUUGGCGGGGUAACGGCCCACCAAACCGACGAUGGAUAGGGGUUCUGAGAGGAAGGUCCCCCACAUUGGAACUGAGACACGGUCCAA
rnacentral:rRNA from 1 species